rnacentral:rRNA from 1 species
GACGAACGCUGGCGGCGUGCCUAAUACAUGCAAGUAGAACGCUGAAGGAGGAGCUUGCUUCUCUGGAUGAGUUGCGAACGGGUGAGUAACGCGUAGGUAACCUGCCUGGUAGCGGGGGAUAACUAUUGGAAACGAUAGCUAAUACCGCAUAAGAGUAGAUGUUGCAUGACAUUUGCUUAAAAGGUGCAAUUGCAUCACUACCAGAUGGACCUGCGUUGUAUUAGCUAGUUGGUGGGGUAACGGCUCACCAAGGCGACGAUACAUAGCCGACCUGAGAGGGUGAUCGGCCACACUGGGACUGAGACACGGCCCAGACUCCUACGGGAGGCAGCAGUAGGGAAUCUUCGGCAAUGGACGGAAGUCUGACCGAGCAACGCCGCGUGAGUGAAGAAGGUUUUCGGAUCGUAUAGCUCUGUUGUAAGAGAAGAACGAGUGUGAGAGUGGAAAGUUCACACUGUGACGGUAUCUUACCAGAAAGGGACGGCUAACUACGUG